UCGCAGGUUACAGCAAGAGCUGCAAAACCCAUGGAUUUUCCUCUAGUGAAACGCAUUCCAACAGAUUGAAGCAACUUUUUCCCUCUUUUGACAAGGUUCGACACGCAUCCGGUCUUUAAGCUCAUACACUCCAUGUUUAGUUUUCGAUUUAUCUUUUAGGGUUGUUUCGUCCAUUCUUCCUUUUCCCCUUUCAUCUUCUUCUUGAAUUUUUGCAAUAACAACACAAUCAAAGACCUAUAAUGGAGUAAAAAGGGAGUUGAGUUUCAUAAAUCUUAGGUCUCAACUGCUAGUGGAAAUCCCAGGCUGAAAUCGAACUAGAGGCAUCAGAACUGCCAUAGCCACGAAGGCUUGGCACUACGAUGCAGUACCCAGGUGAUUUCAAGGCCAAAAUUUGAUGGCACCAUGGAUCUGUAGCUGGAGCUGGAGCUUAACGUGGGUUUGCCGAAUUGAUAUCUAGAAGUAUGAAACUGUCGGCAUAGACUUGGAAAAACUUUCAGAUUGACAAGAUUUUGUUGGUAUGACGAGAUUUAGCUGCAUGAUUAUUUUAGUUUAGUUGCGCUAUUGUUUUUGUUUUGUUCUUUUUUUUUUUUUUUUUUUUUUUUUUUUUAUGUAUCUAUAUGAUCCUCCAAGGUGAACCAACUUUCUAGAUCUUUAGACUUUAGAGCUUUAUGUAUAUAUUUGUCAAUAUAACUUGUUGAUAGGUUAGUUAAACAAUUUGUCACUUUCUUUGUUGUGAAUGAGUUAAUUUUUAUGUUCGUUUAAAAUUAAGUUGUAUAUAUAAUAGCAAUUAAGAUA